rnacentral:rRNA from 1 species
UACGGGGGGGGCAAGCGUUGUUCGGAAUUACUGGGCGUAAAGGGCUCGUAGGCGGCCAACUAAGUCGGACGUGAAAUCCCCGGGCUCAACCUGGGAACUGCAUCUGUGACUGCAUAGCUAGAGUACGGUAGAGGGGGAUGGAAUUCCGCGUGUAGCAGUGAAAUGCGUAGAUAUGCGGAGGAACACCGAUGGCGAAGGCAAUCCCCUGGACCUGUACUGACGCUCAUGCACGAAAGCGUGGGGAGCAAACAGG